rnacentral:rRNA from 1 species
AGUGAACGCUGGCGGCAGGCCUAACACAUGCAAGUCGAACGGCAGCACAAGAGAGCUUGCUCUCUGGGUGGCGAGUGGCGGACGGGUGAGGAAUGCAUCGGAAUCUGCCCAUUUGUGGGGGAUCACCUCGGGAAACCGGGACUAAUACCGCAUACGAACUACGGGUGAAAGAAGGGGAUCUUCGGACCUUGCGCAGAUGGAUGAGCCGAUGCCGGAUUAGCUAGUUGGAGGGGUAAAGGCCCACCAAGGCGACGAUCCGUAGCUGGUCUGAGAGGAUGAUCAGCCACACUGGGACUGAGACACGGCCCAGACUCCUACGGGAGGCAGCAGUAGGGAAUAUUGGACAAUGGGCGCAAGCCUGAUCCAGCCAUGCCGCGUGUGUGAAGAAGGCCUUCGGAUUGUAAAGCACUUUUGUUGGGAAAGAAAAGCAGCCGGUUAAUACCCGGUUGUCAUGACGGUACCCAAAGAAUAAGCACCGGCUAACUUCGUG